rnacentral:misc_RNA from 1 species
UCCUAGUUUCCUAGGCAGUCCCGCUAGAGUGCUCCCGUUUCCAGGUAGCAACUAACGGCAAGGGUUGCGCUCGUUAAAGGACUUAACCCAACAUCUCACGACACGAGCUGACGACAGCCAUGCAGCACCUGUGUAACCGUCUGUAUUACUACAGAACCCGACGUUUCUGCCGGUAGCAGUUACAUGUCAAGCCUAGGUAAGGUUUCUCGCGUAGUGUCGAAUUAAACCACAUGUUCCACCGCUUGUGCGGACCCCCGUCAAUUUCUUUGAGUUUUAAUCUUGCGACCGUACUCCCCAGGCGGAUCACUUAACGCGUUAGCUUCGACACAGACUUUGCUAUGCAAUGCCCAUAUCUAGUGAUCAUCGUUUACAGCGUGGACUAC